GCCUUCGUGGUGAAAUGGUUUAUCACACUCGGCGUGUAUUCGAGAGGUCCGGGUUCGAGUCCCGGCGAAGGCA